rnacentral:rRNA from 1 species
GCUUGCUUCUCUUGAGAGCGGCGGACGGGUGAGUAAUGCCUAGGAAUCUGCCUGGUAGUGGGGGAUAACGUUCGGAAACGGACGCUAAUACCGCAUACGUCCUACGGGAGAAAGCAGGGGACCUUCGGGCCUUGCGCUAUCAGAUGAGCCUAGGUCGGAUUAGCUAGUUGGUGGGGUAAUGGCUCACCAAGGCGACGAUCCGUAACUGGUCUGAGAGGAUGAUCAGUCACACUGGAACUGAGACACGGUCCAGACUCCUACGGGAGGCAGCAGUGGGGAAUAUUGGACAAUGGGCGAAAGCCUGAUCCAGCCAUGCCGCGUGUGUGAAGAAGGUCUUCGGAUUGUAAAGCACUUUAAGUUGGGAGGAAGGGCCGUUACCUAAUACGUGAUGGUUUUGACGUUACCGACAGAAUAAGCACCGGCUAACUCUGUGCCAGCAGCCGCGGUAAUACAGAGGGUGCAAGCGUUAAUCGGAAUUACUGGGCGUAAAGCGCGCGUAGGUGGUUUGUUAAGUUGGAUGUGAAAUCCCCGGGCUCAACCUGGGAACUGCAUUCAAAACUGACUGACUAGAGUAUGGUAGAGGGUGGUGGAAUUUCCUGUGUAGCGGUGAAAUGCGUAGAUAUAGGAAGGAACACCAGUGGCGAAGGCGACCACCUGGACUGAUACUGACACUGAGGUGCGAAAGCGUGGGGAGCAAACAGGAUUAGAUACCCUGGUAGUCCACGCCGUAAACGAUGUCAACUAGCCGUUGGGAGCCUUGAGCUCUUAGUGGCGCAGCUAACGCAUUAAGUUGACCGCCU